CUGGAGGUAUCAGAAGUGCGAAUGCUGACAUAAGUAACGAUAAAGCGGGUGAAAAGCCCGCUCGCCGGAAGACCAAGGGUUCCUGUCCAACGUUAAUCGGGGCAGGGUGAGUCGACCCCUAAGGCGAGGCCGAAAGGCGUAGUCGAUGGGAAACGGGUUAAUAUUCCCGUACUUGGUGUUACUGCGAAGGGGGGACGGAGAAGGCUAUGUUGGCCGGGCGACGGUUGUCCCGGUUUAAGCGUGUAGGUGUGUGUUCCAGGUAAAUCCGGUUCACUUUAACACUGAGGCGUGACGACGAGGCACUACGGUGCUGAAGCAACAAAUGCCCUGCUUCCAGGAAAAGCCUCUAAGCAUCAGGUAACAUCAAAUCGUACCCCAAACCGACACAGGUGGUCAGGUAGAGAAUACCAAGGCGCUUGAGAGAACUCGGGUGAAGGAACUAGGCAAAAUGGUGCCGUAACUUCGGGAGAAGGCACGCUGACACGUAGGUGAAGUGAUUUACUCAUGGAGCUGAAGUCAGUCGAAGAUACCAGCUGGCUGCAACUGUUUAUUAAAAACACAGCACUGUGCAAACACGAAAGUGGACGUAUACGGUGUGACGCCUGCCCGGUGCCGGAAGGUUAAUUGAUGGGGUCAGCGCAAGCGAAGCUCCUGAUCGAAGCCCCGGUAAACGGCGGCCGUAACUAUAACGGUCCUAAGGUAGCGAAAUUCCUUGUCGGGUAAGUUCCGACCUGCACGAAUGGCGUAAUGAUGGCCAGGCUGUCUCCACCCGAGACUCAGUGAAAUUGAACUCGCUGUGAAGAUGCAGUGUACCCGCGGCAAGACGGAAAGACCCCGUGAACCUUUACUAUAGCUUGACACUGAACAUUGAGCCUUGAUGUGUAGGAUAGGUGGGAGGCUUUGAAGCGUGGACGCCAGUCUGCGUGGAGCCGACCUUGAAAUACCACCCUUUAAUGUUUGAUGUUCUAACGUGGACCCGUGAUCCGGGUUGCGGACAGUGUCUGGUGGGUAGUUUGACUGGGGCGGUCUCCUCCUAAAGAGUAACGGAGGAGCACGAAGGUUGGCUAAUCCUGGUCGGACAUCAGGAGGUUAGUGCAAUGGCAUAAGCCAGCUUGACUGCGAGCGUGACGGCGCGAGCAGGUGCGAAAGCAGGUCAUAGUGAUCCGGUGGUUCUGAAUGGAAGGGCCAUCGCUCAACGGAUAAAAGGUACUCCGGGGAUAACAGGCUGAUACCGCCCAAGAGUUCAUAUCGACGGCGGUGUUUGGCACCUCGAUGUCGGCUCAUCACAUCCUGGGGCUGAAGUAGGUCCCAAGGGUAUGGCUGUUCGCCAUUUAAAGUGGUACGCGAGCUGGGUUUAGAACGUCGUGAGACAGUUCGGUCCCUAUCUGCCGUGGGCGCUGGAGAACUGAGGGGGGCUGCUCCUAGUACGAGAGGACCGGAGUGGACGCAUCACUGGUGUUCGGGUUGUCAUGCCAAUGGCACUGCCCGGUAGCUAAAUGCGGAAGAGAUAAGUGCUGAAAGCAUCUAAGCACGAAACUUGCCCCGA
rnacentral:rRNA from 2 species